rnacentral:rRNA from 1 species
CCUACGGGUGGCAGCAGUGAGGAAUAUUGGUCAAUGGGCGUAAGGCUGAACCAGCCAAGUAGCGUGAGGGAAGACUGCCCUAUGGGUUGUAAACCUCUUUUAUCCGGGAAUAAAGUUCGGCACGUGUGCCUUUUUGCCUGUACCUCAUGAAUAAAGACCGGCUAAUUCCGUGCCAGCAGCCGCGGUAAUACGGACGGUCCGGGCGUUAUCCGGAUUUAUUGGGUUUAAAGGGAGCGUAGUCGGGUAUGUAAGUCAGCAGUGAAAGUUUGGGGCUCAACCCCGAGAGUGCAGCUGGAACUGGAGGGCUGGAGUGCGCGGAAGGCAGGCGGAAUUCGUGGUGUAGCGGUGAAAUGCGUAGAUAUCACGAAGAACACCGAUUGCGAAGGCAGCCUGCUGGACUGUGACUGACGUUGAGGCUCGAAAGCGUGGGUAUCAAACAGGAUUAGAUACCCUUGUAGUC